AGAUUCUUGAAGGUGCAGUAGAUGCUUCGACCGUGGUGUCUAAUAAGCUGCUUUCCGAUGUGACAACUCGUUUCCUGAGGUUCCAUCCUAAGACCUGGGUUGGUACUAUUGCAAUGAGAGUUGAAGUUUUCGCUGAAGCUGCAGGUAGGAACGACGUAUACAGUUAAAGAUUUGUAACCGCCUAGAUCUCUAGAGAUAACAGUUUAGAACUGAUAGAGAUAUCCAGUAUAAAUAAAGUUAGUUUAGUUUAAGUUUCCUCCUGUAGUAACACUGGAUCAAUAAGAGAUAUCUUUACUGGACCUCUAUGGAGAACAGUUUAGAAUCUCCAGCAUAAAUAAGUAUAAUUUAGAAAGUGUCUUAAAAUUUUCAGCGGAGAACUACCAAGGGUGUUUCAUAGACGGAGGAGGGCUUACACGUGAAGACAUAUACGACGGGGAUAAUAUGACUCCAGAAAUUUGUACGACUAUAUGCGGUCAGAGCGGGACAACUUACGCUUAUCUGAAAGCUGGUACCCAGUGC